rnacentral:sRNA from 1 species
GCUGGGUGUGGUGGUGCACACCUGUAAUCUCAGAAGCUCGGGAGGCUAGAGGCAGGAGGAUGGCAAGUUCAAAGCCAGCCUCAG